rnacentral:lncRNA from 1 species
GGCCACAAAAAUGGGUGUUCCUCUCCUCCUCUGCAGGACUCUUCCUGCUCCGUUGGUGACCAGCCUUUCCCACACCCCACAUCUUGAAGGUCCCAGACCGCCUGCAUGUGCAGCAGCAGGAGGCAGGGUUUGCAUGGCUGCCACCGGGAACAGCUACAGCUCUGAUUCAUAUGCAUGGAGACAUCAUAUUAUUUGGACACAUUCUGCCUGGCCAUCAGUCCAAGUAACCGCAGGGCUCAGGACCCUUAGAGGAUGCUUUCUUUCUCUCUCCCCCACAGCCAGCAGCAUCUUGGCUUCCUGUACUGUCUGCACUAACAGGCCUCUCCUGCCAUCUCCUACACUCUACCUCAAGCAUUGAGCCUCUGCCCCACAUGAGGAGCUAUCUAUUACCCUAUACUGACUUCAUGUUCCCAGCUCACCUCUUGCUGAGACUAUUUAUUGUCUGCCGCCCUCCUUGAGAGUGCCCUGUAUCCCCAUGAGGGGAGCCACAGCAACAUACUUUUGUUGUGUGUCAUCUAGAGCGAUAGCUCUACCCUCCAUAUCCACAGAGACGUAUAGAGACUGGACCCGGAACCAACAGCCAUUGUCAUUCCUCCGUCUCCGUCUUCUUUCCUGCCUUCUUCAGUCAGCUGCUGUUGGCAGAGUCCGUAAUAUGUUUAAUGGAC